UUCAGGUUUAGCCUAAUUUAUACCUAUUGUAUUUAGUGUGUUGUAAUUAUUUUUACAGUAUUUUAUUAAAUUAAUUUUUAGUUAGGUAUUUCAAUAACUUAAUAUUUUAGCAUGGCUACCUUAGUAGUAGGUAGAAAACUGUAGACAUGUGCUAGAACUAUUUUCUUUAAAGUUUCUCUUCGCUGGAAGAUAGUCACGUGUGAUAUCAUGCGAGGUGGCGGUUACGGCAAGAUUCUGUGGGCCAGCGCGCGAGAUGGAUAGCCGGUGCUCGUGCUCCGCAAAAAAAGUUUAACCAGGGUUACGCGAAUGUGAUGUUUUUUUCUGAUAAUGUCACACAUAUUGUGAAGUAACUGUGUACAUAUGUUUCUGAACAAGGAUUGCCUAACAUAUCGGUGGUGUUCAAGCCCUACAAGUUCCUCAAGUUUCUGGAUUUGUACCCUAAAUACAGGGUGCUGCUGGUCAUCGGGCACGCCCUGUGCUGCUGUAGUAUGCUAUAGUUUAAGCACACUUGAAGGAAGAAUUCACUACAUGCUACGGACUAGCAAGCCCGUCUCCGACAGAGGGGUGGAGAUGUGGUAUAAGUCAUUCUGCCACUUUGCUGAUGAUUGGAUGGUUGCUUGCCCAGCACCAGCUCUGUGGAAUGAGUAUCCUCUAACUCUGAGCCGAAAGUGGACCGAGGACAUCAUCUGCGCUGAAAACUCUGCAGCGAAAAAUUAGUGAAUUACUGGUUGGUCCACGUGUUGGAGACCUGUGGACACACCCCUAAGCAUGCCUUUUGCACACACGUGUGUAUGACAAAGCAAAUUGGAGGGCAGGCGGACGAAGCCGUAAAUGAAUACUUACAGUUCAGUGGCAGUGCAGUUAGUCUUUUUAUUAUAACACAGGGCACUAAGAAGUGACGUUACAUUACACACACACAUGAUACAAAAGAGAAAAAACAGUAAAACAGAAAUACCUAACAAAGAUUUGUAAUGGAGCACCUCACGCAUGUGUUUGGCCUUGGCGGUGGCCCGGACGGGACUGGAGACCAGGACACUGAGACGCCACUUCCGCGCGCACAGAGUGGAAGUUACAAUACAAACACUACUGCAGCAUGCUGCGGACAGUACUGGGACCCGGGCUUUAAGGGAAUGGUUCACGAUUUUUGCAAACCAGCAUGUUAUUUUAUCCAAAUUGGGCCAGCAUGAUUUAAGUUAUAGAUAUAUCAAAUUAUAUCUAUAAAGAGGAAAGUUCAAUAUAUUUUUAGAGAUAUUAUUUAACGCCAUAAAAUUUUUACAAAAUUAAAUUUAAAUGUUUACAAUCAGACGUUUUUAAAGGUCUAGUUCCUUCAGUAUUACCAGGACUCUACAAGCAAUAAAAAUAUAAAUAUAUAUACAUAAUUAUAUUUCUAACGUAUCUUCAGAAUUUGGGGCACCAACCUAUUGACGACAGUCGUCGUACCCUCCCAGAUACAGAGGCCGUACCUGGCCACCGACGCGGGCCUGAGGGAGUCUGUUUUUCCCCAGUGAACUAUCAGUGUAGUGCAUCGGCCAGGGACGCACCCGCGUGCGCCCUAGCAUGCCAGUGGGCCAUUGUUAGUGUGUAAAUGAUUCUGUGUUGUAUAUAUUUUUUCCAAAUGACCGUGACUUUUUAAUAAGUGUAUAAAUAAUGUAUUAAUUAUUGUGUAAAUAAUCUUGUAAUUUUCGCAAAUGUCUCGCAGUGUCAAUAUGUAAUCGCGGCCUGGCGCUCGUCCGCGUCGCGAGGGGUGGCGCUCUCCCACGCCGGCCAAUUUCUCCUCCCCUCCCCUGCAGCCCGCGCGCGACGGCCCGCGGGCGGGCGGGGAAGGGCAGUAGUACUCAGGACUCGUUCAGCGGCGGACGUGCACGCCGCUCCGCGCUGAUCGCAAGGCGCGCCUACCGAGCUUGCGGUCCGGCGACAGCGCCACUGUACGGGUUUUGCGGCAGCUGAGCUGCCCUCGUUGUGCCGCUCACACGGUUGAGCGUACGAGUUACGUUACGAGUCGGACCUUGUAGGACGCGUAAGCAUAGUUACGCACCGCCGAACUGUCACCGUCGUUACGAGUCUAUCCGUAAAGAACCGCGCACGUGUCACGCGCCUUUGAGGAGCAAUUAGCAAUCAGCAACUUUGUUACGUGGGAGGAUUUCUAGUUCGUAUGGAGACGAGUGGGUUGCACGAGACGGUCUUCGGGAGUCCGGGUCUUCGUGUGAGGGGCGCACACCCCGCGACGGAUCCGCCAGGCCGCGGCAAGCUCUCAGGAUUGCAAUAAAGGGGCUCGUGGAACUGUUAA